rnacentral:rRNA from 1 species
UACGUAGGGUGCGAGCGUUGUCCGGAAUUACUGGGCGUAAAGAGCUCGUAGGUGGUUUGUCGCGUUGUUCGUGAAAACUCACAACUCAAUUGUGGGCGUGCGGGCGAUACGGGCAGACUGGAGUACUGCAGGGGAGACUGGAAUUCCUGGUGUAGCGGUGGAAUGCGCAGAUAUCAGGAGGAACACCGGUGGCGAAGGCGGGUCUCUGGGCCGCAACUGACGCUGAGGAGCGAAAGCAUGGGGAGCGAACAGG